rnacentral:lncRNA from 1 species
CCUAGCCUCACCUGGAGAUGCUGGGGAUUGAACCUGGGACCUUCUGUGUACAAAACAGAUGCUCUGAGCUAUGGCUCCUUCUCUUAAAAAGAAGAAGUAAGAUUCCAGUCUUCAUGGUUAUGAAUGAAGGGCUGAAUUAAAUAGAAACAGGGGAGGCUGCCUUAUUCAGCAGCUGCCUUCUGUGCCAACUUUUAAAUGCCUGCUGAAAAUGCUUUUGUUUUGCCAGGCUUAUGCAGGCAAUUAAGAGUACAUCCCCCACAAUGGUCUAUUGAUAUUUGGCUUUAAUUUAUUUUUGCUUUUAACUGGUUUUCAACUUUUGGUUUUAUGUUUUUAUAUUUUAUGUUGUUGUAAACCGCUGUAAUAAAACUUCAUGAUACAGCGGCAUAUAAAUAUUCAGUGGGUGAACCCCACGUAAUUUAGGAUGGGUUUCUUUCCAAGCAAACAUGCAUCAGAUGGGACUGAGGUCCAUGAUCCUGGGGCAUAUUUACUUGGGCAUCAUUUAAUUUAGUGGGAUGUAACUGAAUACAGUGGUACCUUGGGUUACAUACGCUUCAGGUUACAUACCCUUCAGGUUACAGACUCCGCUAACCCAGAAAUAGUACCUUGGGUUAAGAACUUUGCUUCAGGAUGAGAACAGAAAUUGUGCUCCGGCGGCGCUGCAGCAGCAGGAGGCCCCAUUAGCUAAAGUGGUGCUUCAGGUUAAGAACAGUUUCAGGUUAAGAACGGACCUCUGGAACGAAUUAAGUACUUAACCCGAGGUACCACUGUAUCUUGGUCAGAACUGUGCUGCUUGGCUGCAGUCCUAUGUACUCUUCACAGGAGGCAUGACUAACUGAACACAGGGAAACUUACUUCCGAGUAAGCGUGUACAGGGCCGGGCUGCCCACCUGCGAGCAAUGCCACCUGGAGAAAGUGGGGGAACAUUUUGCACUUGAUCAAAGUGGAUGAAAUUGGCCAGGGGAUGCCCUCUCUCAUGGACUGUGGAGGGAGUUGAGGCAGGCUCUCUUACAGAGCAGAUAUUAACAGCCUUGGCUUGCUGCUUGAUUGGCAUCCGUGCAGGUUUGUUGUUUGUUUGUUUUGCUUUGUUUCAAACCAAGUGUUGUUUCACAGGGAGGCUCAGGCACGCGCAAAGACAGUAGCCCCUUGCAAAGAGAGAGCGAGCCGGCUAGGUAAACAGAGGCACCAUCGCCAGCAAGCAACGCAUCAUCCACCCCUUUUUCCAGUGUUACAGACCUUCUCUCUCGCCUCUUCCGCGCUGGAGGAAAACACCGGUCGGCCCUCCCUGGCGCUGCUGAACGGAGAGCACCGCGAAGAUGCCUCCUGGAGGGAGAAGAGAGAAAUGAUGCUCAAGGGCUUGGCUUGCGGAGGGCGGGACGGGGAAAUGUCUAAGGCCCCGUCUGCUUCCCAUUGCGCAUAGGAACGGCUGGGGAGGGGGAUGUUUUCCCCUUUUGACUGGGAGGGGGGGUGAGGAGAUGAUCUAUUGGGAUUAUUCUAAUAUAGGGGGGGGGGGGCUUGAUUCCUGAAACCAGGCGGAAGUGAAACCCUUCCCCUUCCUCCAGUCAAUGAGAGCUCCGCCGGGUGGAGGAAAGGGGGUCACUCCCCUAUUCAUCAUCACGCCGCAAGGCAGGCAAUUCACCCGCCGCUCUCAACCAGCUGCCCGAAGGAAGGAGCCGGGUUUUGAGGCAGGACUGACAUCCAGAGGCGAAGAGCGCCAAGGCAGGUGGCUGGAGGGUGCGCUCUUUGCAAUCCGGUGCAUAGCAAGAAAACUGCGUCCCGUUCCUUCCAUCUUGCUGUGCUCGCUCACCAGGUAGUGAGUCCCACUAACUACAAGGGGAGAAUGAGACAUUUUGCAGACAUGCAGCCUGAACCUAAUAAUGUUAAGGUGAAUUAUGUGUUAUACCAGAGAAAGUGGCCGCAAUCUACUGACCUGGGAGUAAGCCCAAUUGAGCUCAAUGGGAUUUACUUCUGAGUAGAUAUGUAGGCUUGCAUCAUUUACUGGGUUACUUUGACCAUGCUUGGGGCAUGAGAAGAUCUUAGCAUGCAACACGGCAUGCUAGGACCAAUAAAAAAUGGGAAAACC